GGGUGAGUAACACGUGGAUAACCUACCUAUAAGACUGGGAUAACUUCGGGAAACCGGAGCUAAUACCGGAUAACAUAUUGAACCGCAUGGUUCAAUAGUGAAAGGCGGCUUUGCUGUCACUUAUAGAUGGAUCCGCGCCGUAUUAGCUAGUUGGUAAGGUAACGGCUUACCAAGGCAACGAUACGUAGCCGACCUGAGAGGGUGAUCGGCCACACUGGAACUGAGACACGGUCCAGACUCCUACGGGAGGCAGCAGUAGGGAAUCUUCCGCAAUGGGCGAAAGCCUGACGGAGCAACGCCGCGUGAGUGAUGAAGGUCUUCGGAUCGUAAAACUCUGUUAUCAGGGAAGAACAAAUGUGUAAGUAACUGUGCACAUCUUGACGGUACCUGAUCAGAAAGCCACGGCUAACUACGUGCCAGCAGCCGCGGUAAUACGUAGGUGGCAAGCGUUAUCCGGAAUUAUUGGGCGUAAAGCGCGCGUAGGCGGUUUUUUAAGUCUGAUGUGAAAGCCCACGGCUCAACCGUGGAGGGUCAUUGGAAACUGGAAAACUUGAGUGCAGAAGAGGAAAGUGGAAUUCCAUGUGUAGCGGUGAAAUGCGCAGAGAUAUGGAGGAACACCAGUGGCGAA
rnacentral:rRNA from 1 species